GAUGAACGCUGGCGGCGUGCCUAAUACAUGCAAGUCGAGCGAACAGACGAGGAGCUUGCUCCUCUGACGUUAGCGGCGGACGGGUGAGUAACACGUGGAUAACCUACCUAUAAGACUGGGAUAAUUUCGGGAAACCGGAGCUAAUACCGGAUAAUAUAUUGAACCGCAUGGUUCAAUAGUGAAAGACGGUUUUGCUGUCACUUAUAGAUGGAUCCGCGCCGCAUUAGCUAGUUGGUAAGGUAACGGCUUACCAAGGCAACGAUGCGUAGCCGACGUGAGAGGGUGAUCGGCCACACUGGAACUGAGACACGGACCAGACGCCUACGGGAGGCAGCAGUAGGGAAUCUUCCGCAGUGGGCGAAAGCCUGACGGAGCAACGGCGCGUGAGUGAUGAAAGUCUUCGGAUCGUAAAACUCUGUUAUUAGGGAAGAACAAAUGUGUAAGUAGCUAUGCACGGCUUGACGGUACCUAAUCAGAAAGCCACGGCUAACUACGUG
rnacentral:rRNA from 1 species